ensembl:lncRNA
GUCACAUAUCGCGUGGUUUUAAGUGUCACUUGUGUAACUCUGAAACUGAUCCAGAAAAUGUAAAACUCUUCCUCAUCUUCAUCUUUUUCAUCAUCUUCCCCUCCAUCUAAAUCAUAUAUGAAUCGCGAAUCGGCUCUGAGGUUACGAUCUAAAUCAAAUGAUUCGCGAAUCGGCUCUGAAGUUACGAUCUAAAGCAUAUAUGAAUCGCGAAUCGGCUCUGAAGUGACGAUCUAAAUCAAAUGAUUCGCGAAUCGGCUCAGAAGUUACGAUCUAAAUCAUAUGAAUCGCGAAUCGGCUCUGAAGUGACGAUCUAAAUCAAAUGAUUCGCGAAUCGGCUCUGAAGUGACGAUCUAAAUCAUAUGAAUCGCGAAUUGGCUCUCAGGUUACGAUCUAAAUCAAAUGAAUCGCGAAUCGGCUCUGAGGUUACGAUCUAAAUCAAAUGAUUCGCGAAUCGGCUCUGAAGUUACGAUCUAAAGCAUAUAUGAAUCGCGAAUCGGCUCUGAGGUUACGAUCUAAAUCAUAUGAAUCGCGAAUCGGCUCAGAAGUUACGAUCUAAAUCAUAUGAAUCGCGAAUCGGCUCUGAAGUGAUUAUCUAAAUCAAAUGAUUCGCGAAUCGGCUCUGAAGUGACGAUCUAAAUCAUAUGAAUCGCGAAUCGGCUCUGAAGUGACGAUCUAAAUCAAAUGAUUCGCGAAUGGGCUCUGAAGUGAUUAUCUAAAUCAAAUGAAUCGCGAAUCGGCUCUGAGGUUACGAUUUAAAUCAAAUG